GUGUUUGCUGUCUGUCUCUUCAGACAAAAACCUGGCUGGGCCCCUGCGAACAGAUCUCCCUCUAUCCACAAGUCCUCAGGUUUGGGCCUGAAAGACGUGCCAGACCUGCUGCCAAAGCCUUGGCCUCCACCUCACCCUGCAGACAUGGCUGUACACACACGCAUAUAUGCAACUCAGACAAACUUCAAUAAGUACAUAUUGGGCUCAGCAGUAAAGGUGAUCAACAGUGCCAAAUUCCUGGGGGUACACAUCAUAGACAACCUCACUUGGACUGUAAACACCUCCUCACUGGUCGAAUGUGCAUGUACUUCCUGCAGAGGAUGAGGAGAGGACCUGCACCCACCCAUCCUCACCACCUUCUACAGAACCACCAUAGAGAGCGUUCUGACCAGCUGUCUCACUGUGUGGUGUGAAGGCUGCAGCA